CUGGAGAUUCCUAACCCUGGCUUCCCCUAGGCUAUGGCCUGGGUGGGGCCAAUGGGGGAAAGGAAAGAUCUUCUGGCCUUGCUUCUCCUAGCCCUUUGUAAAGGUGGGGGGCGGGACCCCCACCAUGACUGAGUACUGAGGGCGGAGCCAGCCACCACAAAGACUUCAAUUGUGAGUGAGGCCUGGUGCACAAUGGGGCUGGGCCCUCCACAUGGAAAUGAGGCCAAAGCCCCUUUUUCUCCCUCCUCUGCCUGGCUUCCUCCUCCUCCUUGGCCUUAGAGACACCGUGGACAGAGCUCAAAUGAAACCCCUGGAAGUGACCCUCAGCUUGGUCCAGGGUCCCUCAGAAACUCCACCAAGGCCUUCAGUACCACUUAGACUUGGAAAAGACAGACACCCUUCUUCAGACUGUGUGAAAUGCUUCUGAGGAGACUGUGACUUGGCUUAGAAUCUUCAGACGUCACUGUACUGACAGGCAGAGCACGUGACAACCACAGGGAAUGACAAACUCAGCUGGAAGAGGCACUGUUGGCAAGGAUCAAAAUGUCCCAUGCAUUCGCGGGAAGUGAAGUCUGCGUGGUUUAUACACAAGCAAGGCUCCAGGCCCCUUGGAGGAAGAGCAGGCAAGUUUUUAUGCCUGAGCGCUCCACUAACGUGCACUGGAAGGAAAAGGCAUUUAUCACCCCAUGUCACACGGCAGGGUCAUAAACAGUUAAUCUUCAACAAAGGGCAGA